AAUUGCAAACGCGUUUCUCAUGACUUUACAAAAUUUCUAAUCGUUAAUGCUGCUUUAUUCGAACGUAUCCAAGUUUCUUUCAGCCGUUCGACAUCAUUUCGACAAAGACGUACGGUCACACAAAGAAGUAUAGGUGGCAAGGGCAGGGGAGUAAAAGCGAGUAUAAAACGAAGAGGACAGGGAAGAUCGAUGAGCCUCCGCGGCUCCGCGUUACACAGGUGCACUACGUGCGCAGGUGAACUGUGGUGAUUCUACGAAAGCACGUGCACGAUACUAAACAGAUGAGAGAGGUAUAUAGAGGGACGAGAAGAGAUACGAGGCCCAGAUAGAAGUGGCGCGUGCGCCUAUGCAUCCGGCUUAAGAAAACUUCAGACACGUCGAUUCAGUGGGAAAAACGCGAGGUCUUUAUGUAACCGGUUCGGACACGUGAAGUUUAAGAAGCUCCCAUAUCCGAACGAUACGAAUAAAAGCGUCUAGGGUCUAAUGGUGUCAGAUGGUGUGUUUCGCCGUUGUGCCCUGAAAAGGCGAGCAACACACGUGUUUCACGCGGGUACGAUGACGAGCGUUUUGUAAUUUUGUUAAUCGUUCGAGCGAGCCAUAGCGAUUAAGUAAUGAUGGAAAGCCCGGUUGCAAAGAGCAAGCCGAGCGAGCGCUACGAUUUUUGUUAGAUGCGCCUCGAUAGGCAUCUUCUGACUGGAAUCGGUGGCCUUCGCGAUUCUUCGAUAGUUUCGGGUUUCGUGUAAGAUAUUUCUCUUUUCGAUUGGGAUAUUAGCGAUUUACCUUGCGGUAGAUUAUUCUGAAAAUCUGAAGUACAUAAGUAUAUCUGAAAUUGGGUCAACCUAUUUUCUACAGCUAUCUAAAUGAUCUCUUAUUUGUACUUAUGUUUAUCUAGAAUUAUACAUGUAUACACUAAAGUGAAGACUUAGGAUUUUAGCAUUUUCAAUCACAUAAUAAUUCAUGUUCUAGGUAAGACAUUCGGUGGAUCAUUUGAGCCAUUCAAAGGACAAGUUCAUUAAUUCAUAAAUGUUAAUUACAUCUUGCCGAAGGAAACUGUAUUUCGGAUGUUUAGUAGUCCUACUGUAAAUUUUACCAGAAUAGCGUAUAAUUUCCUACAAAUCGAACGAUUAACCUUGACAAAGUCAGCCACUUCAGCUUCUGUGCGUGUCCCAUUUACUAAAUAUAUACUCUAUACUACCAUCGAAA